AAAAGAUUUAUGUAAUUUUUUCUCAUAUUUGUCUAUUUCAGAAAGAAAAAAAAAAAAAAAAAAAAAGUUAAAAUGUUACUUUAGAAUAUUCCCAUCUACAGUUCUACAUUACUUUAGAAUUAUGAAAAGAUUUGCUUAUUUCUCGAAAAUACAAAACGAAGAAAGAUGGGGGUGGGGAAGUAGGUAGAAGUAGAAAAGAUGUCGACUCAAACCUUUUAAAUAGCGAACACGUGUGGGUACUAGAGAACAGUCAACGGCAGAUAUUAGUGCCACGCAUGAAGUUCAAAUUCACUUCCCCUCUAACUUUUGCUUCCCUUCCUUAAGUUUUAGACCCCCACCCACAUCUUCUUUCACAAAUCACAAGCACAACUGCACAACAACACCGACUGCAGAUCCACCGAUUCCAAACAAAUCUCUUUCCUCUUGAUUUCAGUGAAGAAGACGAUCAAGAAAGAUGCGCUCCCAUGGUCCUCCUCACCAUCCUCCUCCACCGCCACAUCAUCACCCCCCACCUCCUCCGCCUCGCCAUACCAACCAUGAUGGUCCACAUGAUGGUAACUCACUGGUGUCAUUCUGCUGUUGCCCUUGCUUAAUGGUGACCUCUCUGAUUGGGAGUUGCUUCUCUUGUCUCUGUUACCCUAUCCUCCAUUGUUUCGGAAUGGAUCGUCAUCAACCUCCUCAUCCUCAUCGUUACUAGGCUACUAGCUAGUUAUAAACUAUCUUCAUCUCGUAUCGUAUCACCAAUCACCAUGUAAUGUUGUUGUUCCCCUGUUCCUGUUUCAACUUUUAUUAAUCAUUUGCUUUGUUUUUGGCUUUUCUAUGGUGUUGUGUUCAUGGGAACCUUUUUUAUCCAAUGGGUAUGUAAUCGGAUCUUUGGAUCUUAUCAUGUAGUUGACUUCUAAAACAUGUGUUUCAUUUGGUGCA